rnacentral:rRNA from 1 species
UACGUAGGGUGCAGGCGUUAAUCGGAAUUACUGGGCGUAAAGCGUGCGCAGGCGGUCUUUUAAGUCAGAUGUGAAAUCCCCGGGCUUAACCUGGGAACUGCGUUUGAAACUGAAAGGCUAGAGUGUGGCAGAGGGGGGUGGAAUUCCACGUGUAGCAGUGAAAUGCGUAGAGAUGUGGAGGAACACCGAUGGCGAAGGCAGCCUCCUGGGCCAGCACUGACGCUCAUGCACGAAAGCGUGGGGAGCAAACAGG